CUUUCUAAUAAGACUAAGAACUAACAUUGGUAAGGCUUGGUCUGUAUGAGAAAAGUUGCACCACUUGGACCUGCUUUCACAGAUAAAAACACAUAGCACAACAAGCAUAGUUUGUUUCUUUGUUAACUAUACAUGCCAUUUUCAUCCAGGGGAAAGAAGAAAGG